rnacentral:rRNA from 1 species
CGAGAAAGUCUUGCUUGCAAGGCGAGUAAAGUGGCGAACGGGUGAGUAACGCGUGGGUAAUCUACCUUUGGGUCAGGGAUAACACUCCGAAAGGGGUGCUAAUACCUGAUACGAUGUGAAUUUCAAAAGGAAUUCUCAUGAAAGGUGACCUCUUCCUUGAAAGUUGCCGCUCGAAGAUGAGCCCGCGUCCCAUUAGCUUGUUGGUGGGGUAAUGGCCCACCAAGGCAAAGAUGGGUAGCUGGUCUGAGAGGAUGAUCAGCCACACUGGAACUGAGACACGGUCCAGACUCCUACGGGAGGCAGCAGUGGGGAAUAUUGCGCAAUGGGGGAAACCCUGACGCAGCAACGCCGCGUGAGUGAUGAAGGCCUUCGGGUCGUAAAGCUCUGUCAGGUGGGAAGAACAGGGCAAUCCCCAAUAAGGAUGGCCCUUGACGGUACCACCAGAGGAAGCACCGGCUAACUCCGUGCCAGCAGCCGCGGUAAUACGGAGGGUGCAAGCGUUGUUCGGAAUCACUGGGCGUAAAGCGCGUGCAGGCGGCCUAUUAAGUCCGAUGUGAAAUCCCUUGGCUCAACCAAGGAACUGCAUCUGAAACUAAUAGGCUUGAGUACGGGAGAGGAGAGUGGAAUUCCCGGUGUAGAGGUGAAAUUCGUAGAUAUCGGGAAGAACACCGGUGGCGAAGGCGGCUCUCUGGACCGAUACUGACGCUGAGACGCGAAAGCGUGGGGAGCAAACAGGAUUAGAUACCCUGGUAGUCCACGCCGUAAACGAUGGGCACUAGGUGUGGAGGGUAUUGACCCCCU